CCUACGGGUGGCAGCAGUGGGGAAUAUUGGACAAUGGGGGGAACCCUGAUCCAGCCAUGCCGCGUGUGUGAAGAAGGCCCUCGGGUUGUAAAGCACUUUCAGUGAGGAAGAACGCCUGGUGGUUAAUACCCAUCAGGAAAGACAUCACUCACAGAAGAAGCACCGGCUAACUCCGUGCCAGCAGCCGCGGUAAUACGGAGGGUGCGAGCGUUAAUCGGAAUUACUAGGCGUAAAGCGCGCGUAGGUGGCUUGAUAAGCCGGUUGUGAAAGCCCCGGGCUCAACCUGGGAACGGCAUCCGGAACUGUCAAGCUAGAGAGCAGGAGAGGAAGGUAGAAUUCCCGGUGUAGCGGUGAAAUGCGUAGAGAUCGGGAGGAAUACCAGUGGCGAAGGCGGCCUUCUGGACUGACACUGACACUGAGGUGCGAAAGCGUGGGUAGCAAACAGGAUUAGAUACCCUGGUAGUA
rnacentral:rRNA from 1 species